rnacentral:rRNA from 1 species
AGAGUUUGAUCCUGGCUCAGAAUCAACGCUGGCGGCGUGCCUAACACAUGCAAGUCGCACGAGAAAGGGUAGCAAUACCUGAGUAAAGUGGCGCACGGGUGAGUAACACGUGAAUAAUCUACCUCCGAGUGGGGAAUAACUUAGGGAAACCUGAGCUAAUACCGCAUAACACUUACGAGUCAAAGCAGCAAUGCGCUUGGAGAGGAGUUCGCGGCAGAUUAGUUAGUUGGCGGGGUAAUAGCCCACCAAGACGAUGAUCUGUAUCCGGCCUGAGAGGGCGCACGGACACACUGGAACUGAAACACGGUCCAGACUCCUACGGGAGGCAGCAGUGGGGAAUUUUGCGCAAUGGGGGAAACCCUGACGCAGCAACGCCGCGUGGAGGAUGAAAUCCCUUGGGAUGUAAACUCCUUUCGAUCGGGACGAUUAUGACGGUACCGGAAGAAGAAGCCCCGGCUAACUUCGUGCCAGCAGCCGCGGUAAUACGAGGGGGGCGAGCGUUGUUCGGAAUUAUUGGGCGUAAAGGGUGCGUAGGCGGUUUGAUAAGUCUGAUGUGAAAUCUAUGGGCUCAACCCAUAGCCUGCAUUAGAAACUGUCGGGCUUGAGUAUGGGAGAGGUGAGUGGAAUUUCCGGUGUAGCGGUGAAAUGCGUAGAUAUCGGAAGGAACACCUGUGGCGAAAGCGGCUCACUGGACCAUUACUGACGCUGAUGCACGAAAGCUAGGGGAGCAAACAGGAUUAGAUACCCUAGUAGUCC